CAUUUUCAUCACAUUGGUGUCAGUCGUUUGAUAAAUUAUGUGAACGUUGUGGAAGAAAUGAUAUAUUAUUUAAAAGUGAAUUAGUUUCGAUAAAAGAGGUGCUUAUUAUUCACUUAAUAUCUUUUAUUUCAGAGAAUGGUAAGUUAGUAAAGAUACCACACAAAUUUAGUUUACGUGCUGUUCCGACAACGAAAAUAUUAAUAGCUGGACAGACAUACAAAGUUAUGCUAUAUUUCAUUAUGGUUCAUGUGUCGAAGAGGGUCAUUAUACAAGUAUGUGUCGAGAGAAGGAACAUCUUGGAUUGAAAUUGAUGAUGUAAAAACAGCAUUGCAAUAAUUGAUGGUAAAACGUACUUUCAAAAACACGGAAUAUUUUGAAAACUUUUUUGGACGAUGCUGUAUGCAAGAAAUUAUCAUGGACUGGACAUAAGGGAUUAAUGGCAAUUAAAGACUUCAACUUUGUCGGUAUUAUAACAGAUUAUGUAUCAACUACAGAUAAAUGCACCCUAUAUGAAGUCUCAAAAGUAAUCCAAGAAUGGCUGCGGCGCGCAGGAGAUCGUAUAAAUUAUCAAACAAAGAAAUACGCAAAUAUAAAUGCAGCUGAAAAUAUAA